rnacentral:RNase_P_RNA from 1 species
AAAGCAAGGGAAGCGAUCGCUUUUAUGUUGAGCAUAAAAGAGGAAAGUCCGGACAUCACAGGACAGGGUGGUGGCUAACGCCCACCAAAAGCAAUUUUAGGGAAAGUGCCACAGAAAACAUACCGCCUGCUUCUGGCAGGUAAGGGUGAAAAGGUGAGGUAAGAGCUCACCGCAGGGGUGGUGACAUCUCUGGCAAGGUAAACCCCACCCGAUGAAAAGUCAAAUAGGGAAGAAAGAGGUUGUCCGCCUCGCCAUUACUUCCGGGUAGACUGCUUGAGCUUUAUGGCAACAUAAAGCCUAGACAAAUGAUCGCUGCUUCUUAUGAAGAACAGAAUCCGGCUUAUUCCUUGCUUUUAGA